CUACAAAACUUGGAAAAAAGAUCCAAAUGAUAGACCCGUAAUUUAACUAACGGGUCUAUUUGAUGUAAAAGACCCAAUUUUAAUUAUAACGGCUCUCUUAUGUAUAUUAGAAAAAAAAAGUAAAAAAUAAGAGACCUGUUACCAAACCUAACGGGUCUCUUCAUUAUAUUAGGUCCCAUAUUUCUGAUAAGAGAAGAAAAUCCCUUCAUUUCUAAUAGAUCCACCUUCAUUUGACGGGUCACUUACAUGGUACUUUUACUUUCUUUUAAUUAUUAUUAAAUCCCUUCAAAGUUCAAACUCAUUCUCCUCUCUCUCUCUCUCUCUUCAAAACCUCCGCCCAACCCUAAUGAUGCCGCCGACAGUUCUUAGCUUUUUCCCUUCUAGUCUUUUAACUUCAUUUUUAUAUAGUUUUUUUUUUCUAUUUCUCCUCAAAUCACCAUUUUUGUUGUCCUAAAUACUUUCAAAUCCUCCAUUGAAAUCGUCGCAACUUCUUCGUUUUCCUUGGAUCGAAUCAUUAUACCUUCAAAUUCAAGGUUUUCUUUUCACUAAUUCGAUUUAGGCUUUCGCUGAUUCAAUUCGUCGAUCACAUAUUCUCCAGUUGAUGGUGUUCUUCUCCCCCCUGUCUAGUUGAAUUCUUCUCUCCUUCCUCCGAUCCACAACGGUCUGAUAACCAUACCUUGGCGUGGUUCGAGUGUUCAUGUUCUUGUUGCUGCUAGUUAGUUUUUCAGAUUUGCUUCAUUCAUCAGAUCACACUUUAUUCUCAACGGAGAUAAGAAAUGGAGUAUUAAACCCUUAUUAAUGUACUACAUAUUAUUGUAAAUUUAUUUUUGUUGCAGUUUUAUAUAUUGGAUGAUCUUUUGAUAUCAUUCACAUCAAUUUUACGUCAUGUAAUAAUUUAUGUAAGUCUCAAUAAAUUCAAUCUUAAAUUACAAUAUAUGAAUUUUUUGCUAA